rnacentral:rRNA from 2 species
AGGGUUCGACUCCGGAGAAGCUGCCUUAGAAACGGCAACUACAUCCAAGGAAGGCAGCAGGCGCGCAAAUUACCCACUCUCAGUUUGAGGAGGUAGUGACGAAAAAUAACGAGGCGGGUCUCUUCGAGGUUCGCCAUCGGAAUGGGUACAAUCUAAACCCUUUAACGAGGAUCUAUUGGAGGGCAAGUCUGGUGCCAGCAGCCGCGGUAAUUCCAGCUCCAAUAGCGUAUACUAAAGUUGUUGCGGUUAAAAAGCUCGUAGUUGGAUCUGCAAUCCCAGGGUGGGGUGCCUCAUUGAGUGUUACUCCGCCCGGGAUUUACCUUCUGGUCUGGUUCUAGGUGUCCUUCACCGGAUGCCUUGAGCUGCCAGAGCUUUUACUUUGAAAAAAUUAGAGUGCUCAAAGCAGGCGCUUGCCUGAAUAGUGGUGC